rnacentral:rRNA from 1 species
CUACGGGCGGCAGCAGUGGGGAAUAUUGGACAAUGGGCGAAAGCCUGAUCCAGCCAUGCCGCGUGUGUGAAGAAGGCCUUCGGGUUGUAAAGCACUUUCAGUGGGGAAGAAAGCCUUGGGGCUAAUACCCUCGAGGAAGGACAUCACCCACAGAAGAAGCACCGGCUAACUCCGUGCCAGCAGCCGCGGUAAUACGGAGGGUGCGAGCGUUAAUCGGAAUUACUGGGCGUAAAGCGCGCGUAGGCGGUCUGAUAAGCCGGUUGUGAAAGCCCCGGGCUCAACCUGGGAACGGCAUCCGGAACUGUCAGGCUAGAGUGCAGGAGAGGAAGGUAGAAUUCCCGGUGUAGCGGUGAAAUGCGUAGAGAUCGGGAGGAAUACCAGUGGCGAAGGCGGUCUUCUGGACUGACACUGACGCUGAGGUGCGAAAGCGUGGGUAGCAAACAGGAUUAGAUACCCUGGUAGUC